rnacentral:rRNA from 1 species
CCUACGGGAGGCAGCAGUGAGGAAUAUUGGUCAAUGGGCGCGAGCCUGAACCAGCCAAGUAGCGUGAAGGAUGACUGCCCUACGGGUUGUAAACUUCUUUUAAGAGGGAAGAGCAGAAGACGGUACCUCUUGAAUAAGCCACGGCUAACUACGUGCCAGCAGCCGCGGUAAUACGUAGGUGGCAAGCGUUGUCCGGAUUUACUGGGUGUAAAGGGCGUGCAGCCGGGAAGACAAGUCAGAUGUGAAAUCCCGCGGCUCAACCGCGGAACUGCAUUUGAAACUGUUUUUCUUGAGUACCGGAGAGGUCAUCGGAAUUCCUUGUGUAGCGGUGAAAUGCGUAGAUAUAAGGAAGAACACCAGUGGCGAAGGCGGAUGACUGGACGGCAACUGACGGUGAGGCGCGAAAGCGUGGGGAGCAAACAGGAUUAGAUACCCGUGUAGUC